rnacentral:rRNA from 1 species
UACGUAGGGUGCAAGCGUUAAUCGGAAUUACUGGGCGUAAAGCGUGCGCAGGCGGUGAUGUAAGACAGGUGUGAAAUCCCCGGGCUUAACCUGGGAACUGCAUUUGUGACUGCAUCGCUGGAGUGCGGCAGAGGGGGAUGGAAUUCCGCGUGUAGCAGUGAAAUGCGUAGAGAUCGGGAGGAACAUCAGUUGCGAAGGCGGCUCUCUGGGCCAGCACUGACACUGAGGCACGAAAGCGUGGGGAGCAAACAGG